CUGAUUGGCAGGAAAUUUUGACCUAUUUUCGAGGAUCUGAAUUGCAGAGUUACUUUACUCGCAUUCUAGAAGAUGAUUUGAAGGCAUUGUGUGCUCAGUCUUCUGUUGUUGGUAUGAAAGGUGCUAGUUAGGCAGUGGAAGCUACGAAUAAGGUGUUCAAUGAUCCCACGGCAUUAACAGAGGAGGAGUACGAUUUGUGAGACCGUUGAGCAACUUGUUUUCUUGACCUAUAUAAUCCUGAGGUAGAUUAUGAUGAUGCCGACGAGAAAG